rnacentral:rRNA from 1 species
GAUGAACGCUGGCGGCGUGCCUAAUACAUGCAAGUCGAGCGAACGGACGAGAAGCUUGCUUCUCUGAUGUUAGCGGCGGACGGGUGAGUAACAUGUGGAUAACCUACCUAUAAGACUGGGAUAACUUCGGGAAACCGGAGCUAAUACCGGAUAAUAUUUUGAACCGCAUGGUUCAAAAGUAAAAGACGGUCUUGCUGUCACUUAUCGAUGGAUCCGCGCUGCAUUAGCUAGUUGGUAAGGUAACGGCUUACCAAGGCAACGAUGCAUAGCCGACCUGAGAGGGUGAUCGGCCACACUGGAACUGAGACACGGUCCAGACUCCUACGGGAGGCAGCAGUAGGGAAUCUUGCGCAAUGGGCGAAAGCCUGACGGAGCAACGCCGCGUGAGUGAUGAAGGUCUUCGGAUCGUAAAACUCUGUUAUUAGGGAAGAACAUAUGUGUAAGUAACUGUGCACAUCUUGACGGUACCUAAUCAGAAAGCCACGGCUAACUACGUG